AUUGAACGCUGGCGGCAGGCUUAACACAUGCAAGUCGAGCGGAGAGAGGUAGCUUGCUACUGAUCUUAGCGGCGGACGGGUGAGUAAUGCUUAGGAAUCUGCCUAUUAGUGGGAGACAACAUUUCGAAAGGAAUGCUAAUACCGCAUACGUCCUACGGGAGAAAGCAGGGGAUCUUCGGACCUUGCGCUAAUAGAUGAGCCUAAGUCGGAUUAGCUAGUUGGUGGGGUAAAGGACUACCAAGGCGACGAUCUGUAGCGGGUCUGAGAGGAUGAUCCGCCACACUGGGACUGAGACACGGCCCAGACUCCUACGGGAGGCAGCAGUGGGGAAUAUUGGACAAUGGGCGGAAGCCUGAUCCAGCCAUGCCGCGUGUGUGAAGAAGGCCUUAUGGUUGUAAAGCACUUUAAGCGAGGAGGAGGCUACUUUAGUUAAUACCUAGAGAUAGUGGACGUUACUCGCAGAAUAAGCACCGGCUAACUCUGUGCCAGCAGCCGCGGUAAAAC
rnacentral:rRNA from 1 species